AUCCUCCCUCCCUCCUCUUCUCCCUUUUCUCUAGCUCCUCUCUCCCCCCUCCCUUCUCGUUUAUCUCAUUCCUCUUCCCCUCUCCCUUCUUUCCCCUCAGGUCCUCCCUCCCUCUCCCCUCCUCCGUCUCCUUCCCUUCAUCUCGAUUUUCUCCCCUCCCCCUCCUCUUCUCCAGUUAAUCCCGCUUUUCCCCCUCCUUUCUCCCACUCUACAUCCUCCCUCCUCUCCUGCGUAUCCUCCCGUUUAUCUCUCUUCUCUUCUCCCCUCUUCUCCAGUUCUCCUCUUCCCAUCUUCCCUCCCUUUCCCUUCCUCCUCCCCUUUAUCUCGCUUCUCUUCUCCCCUCCCUUCUUCCUCCUCCCUCCUCUCCUGAGUCUCCUCCCCUUUAUCUCGCUUCUCUUCUCCCCUCUUCUCCAGUUCUCCUCUUCCCAUCUUCCCUCCCUUUCCCUUCCUCCUCCCCUUUAUCUCGCUUCUCUUCUCCCCUCUUCUUCCUCCCUCUCCCCUCCUUUUCUCCAGUUCUCCUUUUCCCCCCAUCCUCCCUCCCUCUCCCCUCCUCCGUCCCCUUCCCUUUAUCUCGCUUUUCUCCCCUCCCCCUCCUCUUCUCCAGUUAAUCUCGCUUUUCCCCCUCCUUUCUCCCACUCUACAUCCUCCCUCCUCUCCUGCGAUUCCUCCCUCUCCCCUCUUCUCCAGUUCUCCUUUUCCCCCAUCCUCCCUCCCUUUCCUUUCCUCCUCCCGUUUAUCUCGCUUCUCUUCUCCCCUCCCUUCUUCCUCCUCCCUCCUCUCCUGAGUCUCCUCCCCUUUAUCUCGCUUCUCCCCUCUCUUCUUCCUCCCUCUCCCCUCCUCUUUUCCAGUUCUCCUCUUCCCCCAUCCUCCCUCCCUUUCCCUUCCUCCUCCCCUUUAUCUCGCUUCUCUUCUCCCCUCCCUUCUUCCUCCCCCUCCUCUCCUGCGUCUCCUCCCGUUUAUCUCUCCUCGUCUGCUUCCCUUUAUCUCGCUCCUCUUCCCCCUCCCUUCCCCCCAGAUCCUCCCUCCCCGGCCCCCCCUCCGCCUCCUCCCCUUUUUCUCGCUCCUUCCUCCCUCCCUCCCAUUGUCCGCGCAGCUGCCGGGCCCUCGGCGGAGCGCGGACUCUCCGCUCUCCCCUCCCCCUCCGACCCGCGGGAUCGCGCUCCCAGACCAGGCUCGGCUGGGGUCCAGCUCGCCGCUUGCCGCUUCCCGGCUCUGCAGGCCGCGGAGCGGGAGAGGGAGAGGCCGCGGGCGGGGCGGGGAGCGAGUUAG
rnacentral:lncRNA from 1 species